rnacentral:lncRNA from 1 species
GUUGCAUGCAGUGUACCUGAUUGACUGGAAGGGGAGGAGCAAUGAUCCACCCCUUCCCAGACCUCAUUUAAAGGAUGGCAAUGGAGGAGAGGGUGCCUUUUGCUGAAGAUCUCUGCUUACCUAAGGCAUUUUAAAGGAAAGCAGUUAUCAUCCUAUUAUAGCAUUACAGCAGCUGAGACUUCGUGGUUACCCUUUUCUAUCUUGGUUACACCAAAAAGCCAACAGUUUCUCUCUGCUGAUGAUACGUUUGGAACAAAGUGAUGCUCAAGAGUCAUUGGAAGAUGUUACGGAUCUCCAGCAUCCAUCUCUCCUUUUUUAGAAACAGUGGCUUGGCUCCCCAACUGGUCAUAAAUCCAGGUCUCUGCAGUGGAUCUAUUCUGAUUUACACCAGAGGAAAAUCUGGCCUCUAGCUGAGAAGAAAUGGGCUGCCAGUUUAAUUACUUCAUCCCAGUGGUUACUCCAAGAAGGGAUAAACCUCUCAUCAUAUAUAAGAGACAGGUAAGUACAUAGAAAUUCAUGACCAAGCUAAACUGAAGUUCUCCUUGCAUUUUAAGGUUGCAUCAGUUAAUUCAAUGUCAAUUCCAAGUAGGUAUUCAUCAGCCAGAGGAAUUAGUGUGUAUAAUGAAAUGUUUGGGAGACCAUUCCAGUUCUCUCUCCAUAUCUACAACAUUUACUAACCAUAAUGUCCUAUCAUUCAGUUUAAUAUCAGCCCAGUUAGACAUAAAUGUGCCUGCAUAUAUCUAGGUGCUGCACAUCCAGUGGGACUGAGUAGCCCCCUCUUUCUCUGUCCCAGCUAUUAAUUGCAUCCUAUCUCUGGGGAAAGAACUGCUUCUUACCAUGUUUAUGUACAAGUCCUUACAUACAGGAGCCUAGGAAAUCCAUGAGAUAAAUAAUAGGGCUAAUUUCAUGGCACUCAGCUCCAAAGAGGUGUCUGACAUACAAUAAGGCAGUUAUGCUGCAGUUUCACAGUGGAUGAAGACAUUUUAAUGGGAGAUGCUGAACAACUCAGGAGCUCCCUAAUCAUAUCCAAGGGGAACCUUUAUCAUCUCAGAUAUCUGUCAGACUCUGUUCAAGGUCUAUAGCACCUAAGUAUUGUUACUAAUGACUGGUUCCUUUGCUUACAAAAAAAUCAAAAGGUGGCCUUG